rnacentral:rRNA from 1 species
GACAGAGGGUGCAAACGUUGCUCGGAAUUACUGGGCGUAAAGCGCGCGUAGGCGGACCUGCAAGUCGGGGGUGAAAGCCCGAGGCUCAACCUCGGAACUGCCUUCGAUACUGCGGGUCUCGAGUCCGGGGAGAGGUGAGUGGAAUUCCUAGUGUAGAGGUGAAAUUCGUAGAUAUUAGGAAGAACACCAGUGGCGAAGGCGGCUCAGCUGGCCCGGUACUGACGCUGAGGCGCGAAAGCGUGGGGAGCAAACAGG